CACGAAUGGUGUCACGACUGCCCCGCUGUCUCCGACAUGGACCCAGUGAAAUUGAAUUCUCCGUGAAGAUGCAGAGUACCAAUGGCUAGAUGGUAAGACCCCGUGCACCUUCACUAUAGCUUCGCAAUGACAACCUUGAUCGAAUGUGUAGAAUAAGUGGGAGGUGGUGACAAACAACGACUAAUCCUGAAAGACCACUCUUUCGUCUAAGGAUGCCUAACCGCUGCAUCGAGUUUUCGGGAGGGGGGGGAGAGGGGGGGACACUGCAAGGUGGGUAGUUUAUCUGGGGUGGAUGCCUCCU
rnacentral:ncRNA from 1 species